CCUCACCUGGCAUAUCUUGAGGUCAUUACCUCACAUCCUAUCACUCCAGAGAAUAUAUCUCCAUAGGCAUAGAACCAAGAGAACCCUGGCUGGGAGCAUAACACAAGUCCCUUUUCCCCUUCCAUCCUCCAGUAUAUGGCAGUAUCCAUUUCCCCUGCUUUUUCUGAUUUGCUUAAAAUACAUUACACUAAUUAUUAACUCCUUUUCCUGGAUAUAGAUUUCCCUCAAUUUUUAUUUCGUAUUAUUAACAAGCAAAACAACUCCAUGGAAGAUACUGGCCCUGUAGGGGAUUGGUUUGGGGGCAAAAGGAGCAAUUAAACAAUGGACUGAAAUACUAACUGACUCAGGACAGUGUUUUGUGCAGCCUGCCCAUCGACUGCUUUGGACUGAGUGACAAUAAGCCAGUUUUUUAAAGAAGAACAUGGGGCUGUUGGAGCUGGACCAGAGGAGGGCCACGAAAUGAUCAGAGGGCUGGAGCACCUCCCCUACGAGGACAGGUGGAGAGAAGUAGUAAUUGGACUGGAGCAAUUUCUGCAGCAGUGUCUGAGGCUGUUUCCCGCUUUGAACUCGCCACUCUCACUGACAACUGCUGCUUCACACCAUGAAUGAACUGCAAUCAAAUAAAAAUAUUCACCACAACAGCUUGUCAGCAGCGCAACGUGCACUAUUGCUUCUUUUGCUGCAGGAUUUGGGAUUUCAUGGCGCUACAUUCUGCCUAUGAAUGCCUGAAAAACUCCUAUCUGGGUUAUAAAAGGACAUUUAUUCAAUGAGGAGGAAAAAAAAUAAAAGGAAACCGUUCAAUGUUUCAGUUUUCAUUCAGGUAAAAUCCCAGUUCAGAAGGGGCAGGGAAGCAUGUGCUGAAAAUGAAGUGUGUGUGCAAGUCCCACUGAAGCCAGGUAGAUUGUAAGCAUAUGCUGAAAUGCUUAUUUAAAUUGGGCCCUUAAUUAUUAUGUGCUAGGAGAUUGAACUAUGCUUCAUAUUAUUUUCAUACAUCUAUAUUUAUAGAUGUGUGGGUGGGUGGGUGUGCACGGAUAUAUGUAAGCUGUUCGCUAAAGAACAUUAAAAAUGAAACAAAAAAAAAGUCCCCCUCAUCCCUUCUCCUGAAGUGACAGAUUAUUUGAUGGUUUUGACAAGCAAGACUUUAACAUUUGGUCGAAACAGCCAUUCAGAGAAAGAAAAAUGAGUCUGGCCUCACUUUUACUUGCUUUUCUGGCAGAGUUCGCAGCUUGAGCAUCACUGCUGCCAGGAUCCCAGCCCAUCCUUGCACAUCUCACUCAGGUGGAGUGCAUCUCAGCUCGCAUUUGUUCUGUGCUUUAACAACUCAGCUGUCAUUUGAACUUAUACUCUUCUCCAAUUCCAUCAAUUGUUCCAAUCAUUUAUUUAUAUCAAGUUUAAAGUGGAUAUAAUGUUAAAGUACUGUUCACCUAACAGUGGAUUUUCUCCAUGAUAUAUCUCAGUCCCAUCAGUUUAUAAAGGGAGUAACUCUGCAGAGCUCUAUCUAAUGAUACCCCUGCCUGUACCCUUCUAAGACAAGCUGGUGUUCCUGAUAUUGUACAAAUGCAGGAAACUAAUGAAAUGCAGAGGCUGGGGGGAGGAUUAAUAAAAGUUCUCAAAUCCACAAGUUCAAAAACCGUUUUAUAGACCAUCAAAUGUAAAGUAAGGAAAAAAAUGAAUGCUUUGAGGAGGGAUUUGAUUUAGAGAGGGCAAGAUGUUUGGCUCCAAGCAAGAAGGAGCAGGCACAAGAGAAACAGUGUGGACUGUCCCAAGGAAGGGAUGGAAACGUAGUCCAGGAGAGCAGCCCACCAGUAGGAAAUGAGGGAAGGUGAAGCAGCUCCUGAGGGGUUUUGCAAGGCAGGAAAGUGGUUUUGAACUGAAUUCAGCAGUGGAUAAGAAGGUGACAGGAGAUGGGAGCAAUAUGAAUGAAAAAUAGUUCAGCCACAAAAUUCAGCAUGCAUUAAAGUUUCAA